rnacentral:tRNA from 1 species
AGGGGCGUAGCUCAGUGGCAGAGCAGCGGCCUUUUAAGCCGUUGGUCGUGGGUUCGACCCCCACCGCCCCUACCA